AAUAAAUAAAUAAAUAAAUGAAUAAAAUGUUCUAGAAAUUGCUAGAGGCCUGCAUUUGUAAUCACAGUACUUGGGAGGUUGAAGCAGUUGAGUGUUUUGGGAGACAGAGUCUCUGGCAUUGCCUUGGUUGGUUGAAAAAUUAAGAUUCCCCUAUGCUUCUGACUGCUUUUUGGGAUAUCAGGCAUGGUCAGUUCUCCAAGGCACUGUUGUUGUUAUUAUUUCACUAGUGUGUAUGUGAGAGAGACAGAGACAGAGAGGUGUGGGUGCAGGAAACUGAACUCUGGUCCUCUGGAAGAAAACAGAGCAUUCCUAACCACUGAGCUAUCUUCCCAAUCCCUGUUUGCACUAUUUCAAUGAAGCAGCAUAGUAAGGCUUACAAAAGCUCAAGUUCAAACAGCAAGUAUAACAUAAUUCUCUCUCACCAUGCUCAACUGACUUGGAAACCUGUGAGGACUGCUCUUCAAGGGUUAAGAAAGUGGUUAAGAGGGAGAUCUCACCUAGUGCACAAACCUCUUUAAAGAAAAGCAAUAAGGUCCCAAAUACCAUUUCCUCUCCAGACACCUUUUCAUUUAAUAAUCUAAGAAAGUGUGGUUUGUUUGCUUUUUUUUCAAGGAAGAGAGUCUUCAGGCUUAGAAUUAGACUCUCAUGGUGAGAUUUGGCAGUGAGAGGCAGAAAAGUCUGAGAAGGUUGUAUCACCAUGAUCUCCUUCAGUCGACCUAUUGCUCUUGGCAAGACUUCAAGUACUAUAUUGAAAUGGAAAGAAGGGAGUCGCCAUUCCACCCCAGUUCCCGAUUUGAGUGAAACUGCUUUGAGUUUUUGUCCAUUUAAUUUGAUGUUGGCUGUGGGCUUGCUGGAAACUGCCUCUAUUAUGAUUAGGUGUGUUCUUGUAUCCCUAAUCUCUCCAGGACUUUGUCAAGAAGCGAUAUUGGAUUUUUGUCAAAGUCUUUUCCUGCCUCUAAUGAGAUGAUCAUGUGGUAUUUUUUCAGUUUGUUUCUGUGGUGGGUUAUAUUUAUUGAUUUACAUAAUUUGAAUUGUCCCUGCAUCUGUUUGAUGAAGCCUACUUGAUCAUGGUUAAUGAUCUUUUGUUGUGUUCUUGAAUUCAGUUAGCAAGUACUUAGUUGAGUAUUUUUCCAUGUAUGUCUACAAGUAAAAUUGGUCUCUUA